rnacentral:tRNA from 1 species
UGCCGGGUCGUCUAACGGUAGGACAAUGGACUCUGGAUCCGUUAAUCUUGGUUCGAAUCCAAGCCCGGCAG